rnacentral:tRNA from 1 species
UGACCUGUAACUCAAUGGUAAGAGUAGCUGCCUUAUACGCAGAAAGCUCCGGGUUCGAGCCCCGGCAGGUCAA